CUCAGUUCUCAACAAACCCUUCCUUCACUCAAAAUCCAAACCCAGCAGUUCUAGAUAUCCCACCCCUUCAAAUCUUAGAUUCAGCGGACACUGAUGAUAUUUCCAUUGUAAAUAUAAUCCCUCGAUGAUCCAGAUCUCAGUCCACAAAGAAACGUUCCCCAGUUCCUAUUGUUGUUGAAGAAUUGGACCUACCUGAUGAACCACAUUCACUUUCUAUUUCACCUAGAACUCCUUACACUCGUAACAAAGAACACCAAGAGGAGGUUUCUAUGCCUGAGGCACUUCGAGCUAGCAAAAGGACACGCUCGAUUCCACCUGUUCCUAAAUCUUCUUCCUUUCUCCAAGAUGUGCUAUUCUUCUUUGUAAGGAAGGGAAAAACAAAACAUUGUAUUCCUAAACCCUCUGUCUUUCAACCUCCUCAUUUCUUUCACAAGUCUAAAGAAAAUACAACACCAUCACCCCCAUCCAAACCCUCCAAGUCAAAACCUUUAUCUAGCUCUAGGAAAUGCAUUCCCA
rnacentral:lncRNA from 1 species